rnacentral:rRNA from 1 species
GCCUCUGGCUAUAGGAAAUUGUUAGUGGCAGACGGGUGAGUAAUGCGUAGGAAUCUACCUAGUAGUACGGAAUAGCCAUUAGAAAUGGUGGGUAAUACUGUAUAAUCCCCGAGGGGGAAAGAUUUAUCGCUAUUAGAUGAGCCUACGUUAGAUUAGCUAGUUGGUGAGGUAAUGGCUUACCAAGGCUAUGAUCUAUAGCUGGUCUGAGAGGACGAUCAGCCACACUGGAACUGAGAUACGGUCCAGACUCCUACGGGAGGCAGCAGUGGGGAAUAUUGGACAAUGGGCGAAAGCCUGAUCCAGCUAUGCCGCGUGAGUGAAGAAGGCCUUCGGGUUGUAAAACUCUUUCAAUAGGGAAGAUAAUGACGGUACCUA